rnacentral:rRNA from 1 species
ACGGAAGGCAGCAGUGGGGAAUAUUGCACAAUGGGGGAAACCCUGAUGCAGCGACGCCGCGUGAGUGAAGAAGUAUUUCGGUAUGUAAAGCUCUAUCAGCAGGGAAGAAAAUGACGGUACCUGACUAAGAAGCCCCGGCUAACUACGUGCCAGCAGCCGCGGUAAUACGUAGGGGGCAAGCGUUAUCCGGAUUUACUGGGUGUAAAGGGAGCGUAGACGGCAUGGCAAGUCUGAUGUGAAAGGUGGGGGCUCAACCCCCAAACUGCAUUGGAAACUGCCAGGCUCGAGUGCCGGAGAGGUAAGCGGAAUUCCUAGUGUAGCGGUGAAAUGCGUAGAUAUUAGGAGGAACACCAGUGGCGAAGGCGGCUUACUGGACGGUAACUGACGUUGAGGCUCGAAAGCGUGGGGAGCAAACAGGAUUAGAUACCCUGGUA